CGCUGGCGGAAUGCUUUACACAUGCAAGUCGAACGGUAGAGGGGGCAACCCCUUGAGAGUGGCGAACGGGUGAGUAAUAUAUCGGAACGUGCCCAGUCGUGGGGGAUAACGUAGCGAAAGCUACGCUAAUACCGCAUACGAUCUAUGGAUGAAAGCGGGGGAUCGCAAGACCUCGCGCGAUUGGAGCGGCCGAUAUCAGAUUAGGUAGUUGGUGAGGUAAAGGCUCACCAAGCCGACGAUCUGUAGCUGGUCUGAGAGGACAACCAGCCACACUGGGACUGAGACACGGCCCAGACUCCUACGGGAGGCAGCAGUGGGGAAUUUUGGACAAUGGGCGCAAGCCUGAUCCAGCAAUGCCGCGUGCAGGAUGAAGGCCUUCGGGUUGUAAACUGCUUUUGUACGGAACGAAACGGUGAGCUCUAAUACAGUUUGCUAAUGACGGUACCGUAAGAAUAAGCACCGGCUAACUACGUA
rnacentral:rRNA from 1 species